rnacentral:rRNA from 1 species
UGGGGAAUUUUGGACAAUGGGCGCAAGCCUGAUCCAGCCAUGCCGCGUGAGUGAAGAAGGCCUUCGGGUUGUAAAGCUCUUUCGGCGGGGACGAAACGGUCCGUGACAACACCACGGACUAAUGACGGUACUCGCAGAAGAAGCACCGGCUAACUACGUGCCAGCAGCCGCGGUAAUACGUAGGGUGCAGGCGUUAAUCGGAAUUACUGGGCGUAAAGCGUGCGCAGGCGGCUCCUUAAGUCAGAUGUGAAAGCCCCGGGCUUAACCUGGGAACUGCGUUUGAAACUGGUGGGCUAGAGUGUGGAAGAGGGGGGUGGAAUUCCAGGUGUAGCAGUGAAAUGCGUAGAGAUCUGGAGGAACACCGAUGGCGAAGGCAGCCCCCUGGGCUAACACUGACGCUCAUGCACGAAAGCGUGGGGAGCAAACAGGAUUAGAUACCCUGGUAGUCCACGCCCUAAACGAUGUCAACUAGUUGUCGGGGAAGUAAUUCCUUGGUAACGAAGCUAACGCGUGAAGUUGACCGCCUGGGGAGUACGGCCGCAAGGUUAA